rnacentral:rRNA from 1 species
UACGUAGGGUGCAAGCGUUAAUCGGAAUUACUGGGCGUAAAGCGUGCGCAGGCGGCUUUGCAAGACAGAUGUGAAAUCCCCCGGCUUAACCUGGGAACUGCGUCUGAUACUGGAGGGCUUGAGUAUGGGAGAGGGAUGUAGAAUUCCAGGUGUAGCGGUGAAAUGCGUAGAUAUCUGGAGGAAUACCGGUGGCGAAGGCGGCAUCCUGGACCAUUACUGACGCUGAGGCGCGAAAGCUAGGGGAGCAAACGGG